AACGUAGGUCACAAGCGUUGUCCGGAAUUACUGGGUGUAAAGGGAGCGCAGGCGGGAAGACAAGUUGGAAGUGAAAUUCAUGGGCUCAACCCAUGAACUGCUUUCAAAACUGUUUUUCUUGAGUAGUGCAGAGGUAGGCGGAAUUCCCGGUGUAGCGGUGGAAUGCGUAGAUAUCGGGAGGAACACCAGUGGCGAAGGCGGCCUACUGGGCACCAACUGACGCUGAGGCUCGAAAGUAUGGGUAGCAAACAGG
rnacentral:rRNA from 1 species